GCCAGAUGAGUUGUGAUUCAUUGCUUGGGGACAGAAGAACUCUGAACAAGAUCAAGGUUCUAUCAGCGAUAAAUAAGGGAGGCUAAAGUAAAGAAGUAUAACUUGACAUUUCUUCUGCAAGAAAAAAAACAAUAAGAUGGUGACUUUCAAGGCCUCAGUCAAUGACUAAAGUUCUGUGACCACAGUGAGGUACGGUGUCUGAACUAAAUGUUUUCCUUA
rnacentral:lncRNA from 1 species